rnacentral:misc_RNA from 1 species
UCUCCGUAGGUGAACCUGCGGAAGGAUCAUUACCGAUUUGAUCAAAAAACUUAUGGCACGCUUUGCUGGUUCAUAGCAAUAUAAAGUCAGUAGGCGUCGUCUUAAGCGGCGAGCAGGAAUAAGGCGUCCCAUAGUACGUAAACUGUACCUAAAGAGGAUAUCGGCCUGCUCGGUGUUGUAACCAUUGUUGUUCCAACACGCCCGUUAUGUGUAGCACUCUACGUUUUAUGCAGCUGGACAUUAGUACUGGUGGUCUAUAAAGGCCUUAAAGAUUUUGAUUCGCCAGUGCUACCAGUAAAUGCAGUGUGUAGAGGCUCACUUACGGUUUGAGGCUUUCGGGUGAGUACUGGCUUGAAAACCAGGAAGAAAGCUGAUGCAAAAAAAUGUUAAUAUGAAAAAUCGUCAAUGAAAAAUUUAAAAAAAUGACAACCUCGAGUGGUGGAUCACUCGGCUCGU